CAGCUGCAUCUGUCAGUCCUACAGCUGCACUUGAAAGCUGGAGGUCCCCUGGUAGCAGUCUGAAAGCUGCUUCUUUGGAAAGCACAGCUGCAGCCUUCUCAGGGAGAUGGGUGCCACAGCAAGAUGAUAUCAGCCCAGUACAUGCACCAUCCACUGAUCGUGGAAGCCGGCACAUGAGCCUCCAGCGUAGCAGUAAGUUCAGCC